rnacentral:rRNA from 1 species
UACAGAGGGGGCAAGCGUUGUUCGGAAUUACUGGGCGUAAAGGGCGCGUAGGCGGCCUCUUAAGUCGAACGUGAAAUCCCCGGGCUUAACCCGGGAACUGCGUCCGAUACUGGGGGGCUUGAAUUCGGGAGAGGGAUGCGGAAUUCCAGGUGUAGCGGUGAAAUGCGUAGAUAUCUGGAGGAACACCGGUGGCGAAGGCGGCAUCCUGGCCCGAUACUGACGCUGAGGCACGAAAGCGUGGGGAGCAAACAGG